AUGCCAAAAGAAUAUCUUAUAUCAUUUUUGAUCAGUUGCUUACAUGUGAUUGUUGUCUUCCACCACAUGGAUUUGGAUCUUGGUGCUCAUCUUAUGCAAGUCAUACGGGAUUACUUAUUCCAAAUAUUGUGUCAAUUGCAAUGUUUUCAUCUUAAGAUCAUAUAUCUACCACGUAAAAAAAGUUAUUCCAUUUAUGUAUUACCAUGUGUAUAUGAUUAUGAGUUCCCGCAGCAACGCGCGGGGUAUCAUCUAGUAGAAUAUGAUAAUGGAGGUUGUGUGGAGAAGACAAAAAAGGAGAAAGUCUCACAUUGA
rnacentral:rRNA from 1 species